rnacentral:rRNA from 1 species
GACGUAGGGCGCGAGCGUUGUCCGGAUUUAUUGGGCGUAAAGAGCUCGUAGGCGGCUUGUUGCGUCGACUGUGAAAACCUGCGGCUUAACCGCGGGCUUGCAGUUGAUACGGGCAGGCUAGAGUUCGGUAGGGGAGACUGGAAUUCCUGGUGUAGCGGUGAAAUGCGCAGAUAUCAGGAGGAACACCGGUGGCGAAGGCGGGUCUCUGGGCCGAUACUGACGCUGAGGAGCGAAAGCGUGGGAGCGAACAGG